GACGAACGCUGGCGGCGUGCUUAACACAUGCAAGUCGAGCGGUAAGGCCCUUUCGGGGGUACACGAGCGGCGAACGGGUGAGUAACACGUGGGUGACCUGCCCUCAGCUCUGGGAUAAGCCUGGGAAACCGGGUCUAAUACUGGAUAUGACUCCAUGACGCAUGUUGUGGGGUGGAAAGCCUUGUGCGGCUGGAGGAGUCGGGCCCGCGGCCUAUCAG
rnacentral:rRNA from 1 species